rnacentral:rRNA from 1 species
AGAGUUUGAUCCUGGCUCAGGAUGAACGCUAGCUACAGGCUUAACACAUGCAAGUCGAGGGGCAGCAUGAUCAAAGCUUGCUUUGAUUGAUGGCGACCGGCGCACGGGUGAGUAACGCGUAUCCAACCUUCCCCUUAGUAGGGCAUAGCCCGGCGAAAGUCGGAUUAAUACCCUAUGUUAUUCGUCGAGGACAUCUGAAGUGAAUCAAAGAUUUAUCGCUAAGGGAUGGGGAUGCGUCUGAUUAGGUUGUUGGCGGGGUAACGGCCCACCAAGCCAUCGAUCAGUAGGGGUUCUGAGAGGAAGGUCCCCCACAUUGGUACUGAGCCAUGAUCAAACUC